GUGAGACAUUAAUUAGAGGAAAAACCCACAACUGGAAGCAAACCACGACUGAAGACGAGCGAACAGCAACAAGAGAACCAGCCCGAGGAUUGACAACAUCAACUGGAGAGGACCCAUCUGACUCGGAGAAUCCAGUGAUUCAGUCAGGAGAAAGUUUGGUCAUCACAUGACCUCACGCUGGCGGGAAAAUUACAUCAUGUGACCUCACACUGGCAGGAAAUUACAUCACCCCACCAUCCCAAGACAAUUACAUCAUGGUCAUAAGACAGUCACAAGAUACCACGAGGUUAAAAAUGACAAGGAAUUUGUCUACAGGAAUCUCCAACAUAACACGCCAGUUUCGCUGUAUCUGUCCAGAUAUUUAAGAAGUGCAUCCAGGGAUUCAAUCGAUCAUCCUUCCUGCUCAGACUGUGGGGAGGGAUUCACUGAAUCAUCUGACCGACUGCCACACCCGUCAUUUUACACAGGGGGGAACCCAUUCAUCUGCUCAGACAGUGGGAAUGGAUUCAGUCGGUCAUCUCAACUGAAGGUACAUCAGCAAGUUCACACUGGACAAGGCCAUUCACCUGUUCUGUGUGUGAGAAUGGAUUCAGUCGGUCCUCCCACCUGUGGACACACGGGUCAGUUCACACUGGGCAGAGGCUGGUUAUCUGCUGAAUUUGUAGGGAAGGAUUCACUCAGUCAUCUGACCUAAUGGCUCACCAGAGAGUUCACACCAGGGAGCAGCCAUUCACCUGCUCAGACUGCGGA